rnacentral:piRNA from 1 species
UCCUCUGUCCUCACACGGCCC